rnacentral:rRNA from 1 species
UACGAAGGGGGCUAGCGUUGCUCGGAAUCACUGGGCGUAAAGCGCACGUAGGCGGCUUUCUAAGUCAGGGGUGAAAUCCUGGAGCUCAACUCCAGAACUGCCUUUGAUACUGGAGAGCUUGAGUCCGGGAGAGGUGAGUGGAACUCCGAGUGUAGAGGUAGAAAUUCGUAGAUUAUCGGAAGAACACCAGUGGCGAAAGGGCGGCUCACUGGCCCGGUACUGGACGCUCCACGCGAAAGCUAGGGGAGCGAACGGG